UACGUAGGGGGCAAGCGUUGUCCGGAAUUAUUGGGCGUAAAGCGCGCGCAGGCGGCUUUGUAAGUCUGUCGUUUAAGUUCGGGGCUCAACCCCGUAUCGCGAUGGAAACUUCAAGGCUUGAGUGCAGAAGAGGAAAGUGGAAUUCCACGUGUAGCGGUGAAAUGCGUAGAGAUGUGGAGGAACACCAGUGGCGAAGGCGAGUCCCUGGACACUUCCUGACACUGAGGCACGAAAGCUAGGGGAGCAAACAGG
rnacentral:rRNA from 1 species